AGUCGGAAUCGCUAGUAAUCGCGGAUCAGCAUGCCGCGGUGAAUACGUUCCCGGGCCUUGUACACACCGCCCGUCACACCAUGAGAGUUUGUAACACCCAAAGCCGGUGGGGUAACCUUUUGGAGCCAGCCGUCUAAGGUGGGACAGAUGAUUGGGGUGAAGUCGUAACAAGGUAUC
rnacentral:rRNA from 1 species